CUUAUCAAACAACUCUCCGUCGUCGACUACUACAGUACUCCAGGGGCCGCGCUAAAUACAGAGCUGCACUCAAUCUCAAUUCUUAUUUCAUGGGCUGCAAUUUAUUAGAACACUAUUUAUACAAAAAGUGGAAUGUGUGCAAUCCCAGGAAGGCUUCGAAACAUAAAAAUUGACAUAAUUAUCACUGUGUUUCAAAAUCAGAAGGAAGAAUUAUUAGUAGUAAUAAUUUAAGAAGUGAAGAAAUGUUGUGGCUGCUUUGGGCCGUGAAUAAGGCGGUGGAGGUGGGGAAUAAGAACAACCUCACACGCACCGUCAAGAACUAUGCUGAAUCAGUCGUCCAUCAAGCCGGUCAAGCCGUCGCUGAGGGCGCUAAGAUCUUCCAAGAUUGCAUUGUAAGUCUUUGUUAUCUAUUCACAGUGGAAUAACAUGCAUUUGAAGACUAUAUUUACCAAUAACCAGCAGAGAAUGGAGAAAAGAGUUCUUAUGGGCCCGUGUAGGUGUGCCGGUGACGCGCCGACGGGUGGAGAAAUCGAAUUCUGCGGGUGGGGAAGAGAGACAUCGGCGACUAGGUAGGGAUAUCAAACGGGCAGGCCGGCUCGUCAAAACUCGGUUCGUGAGCGGCUCGGUUUUUCAAAUGACG
rnacentral:lncRNA from 1 species